rnacentral:rRNA from 1 species
GAACGAUAUAGUGGCAGACGGGUGAGUAACGCGUGGAAACGUGCCUUUCACUACGGAAUAGCUUUUGGAAACGAAAGGUAAUACCGUAUACGCCCUCCGGGGGAAAGAUUUAUCGGUGAAAGAUCGGUCCGCGUUAGAUUAGCUAGUUGGUGAGGUAACGGCUCACCAAGGCUACGAUCUAUAGCUGGUCUGAGAGGAUGAUCAGCCACACUGGGACUGAGACACGGCCCAGACUCCUACGGGAGGCAGCAGUGGGGAAUAUUGCACAAUGGGCGCAAGCCUGAUGCAGCCAUGCCGCGUGAAUGAUGAAGGCCUUAGGGUUGUAAAAUUCUUUCGCCAAGGAUGAUAAUGACAGUACUUGGUAAAGAAGCCCCGGCUAACUUCGUGCCAGCAGCCGCGGUAAUACGAAGGGGGCUAGCGUUGUUCGGAAUUACUGGGCGUAAAGCGCACGUAGGCGGACUUUUAAGUCAGAUGUGAAAUCCCGAGGCUCAACCUCGGAACUGCAUUUGAAACUGGGAGUCUAGAGAUCAGGAGAGGUUAGCGGAAUACCGAGUGUAGAGGUGAAAUUCGUAGAUAUUCGGUGGAACACCAGUGGCGAAGGCGGCUAACUGGACUGAUACUGACGCUGAGGUGCGAAAGUGUGGGGAGCAAACAGGAUUAGAUACCCUGGUAGUCCACACCGUAAACGAUGAGUGCUAGUUGUCUGCAGGCAUGCCUGUAGGUGACGCAGCUAACGCAUUAAGCACUCCGCCUGGGGAGUACGGCCGCAAGGUUAAAACUCAAAGAAAUUGACGGGGGCCCGCACAAGCGGUGGAGCAUGUGGUUUAACUCGAAGCAACGCGCAGAACCUUACCUACGCUUGACAUGCCUGGACGACUCCGAGAGAUCGGUUUCUCCCUUCGGGGCC